AUUGAACGCUGGCGGCAGGCCUAACACAUGCAAGUCGAACGAGUGGCGGACGGGUGAGUAAUGUCUGGGAAACUGCCCGAUGGAGGGGGAUAACUACUGGAAACGGUAGCUAAUACCGCAUACCAUCGGAUGUGCCCAGAUGGGAUUAGCUAGUAGGUGGGGUAAGGGCUCACCUAGGCGACGAUCCCUAGCUGGUCUGUGAGGAUGACCAGCCACCCCAGAACUGAGAUGCGGUCCAGACUCCUACGGGAGGAGGGAGUGGGGAAUAUUGCACAAUGGGCGCAAGGCUGAUGCAGCCAUGCCGCGUGUAUGAAGAAGGCCUUCGGGUUGUAAAGUACUUUCAGCGAGGAGGCGUUACUCGCAGAAUAAGCACCGGCUAACUCCGUGCCAGCAGCCGCGGUAAUUC
rnacentral:rRNA from 1 species